rnacentral:rRNA from 1 species
UACGUAGGUGGCAAGCGUUAUCCGGAAUUACUGGGCGUAAAGCGCACGCAGGCGGUCUUUUAAGUUUGACGUGAAAGCUCCCGGCUUAACUGGGAGAGGUCGUUGAAUACUGGAAGACUUGAGGAAAUGAGAGGGGUGUAGAAUUCCUGGUGUAGUGGUGGAAUGCGUAGAUAUCAGGAGGAAUACCAGUGGCGAAAGCGGCACCCUAGCAUUUUUCUGACGCUCAUGUGCGAAAGCGUGGGGAGCGAACGGG